AUUGAACGCUGGCGGCAUGCCUUACACAUGCAAGUCGAACGGCAGCACGGGAGCAAUCCUGGUGGCGAGUGGCGAACGGGUGAGUAAUAUAUCGGAACGUGCCCAGUAGUGGGGGAUAGCCCGGCGAAAGCCGGAUUAAUACCGCAUACGACCUGUGGGUGAAAGCGGGGGAUCGCAAGACCUCGCGCUAUUGGAGCGGCCGAUAUCAGAUUAGCUAGUUGGUGGGGUAAAGGCCUACCAAGGCGACGAUCUGUAGCUGGUCUGAGAGGACGACCAGCCACACUGGGACUGAGACACGGCCCAGACUCCUACGGAGGCAGCAGUGGGGAAUUUUGGACAAUGGGCGCAAGCCUGAUCCAGCCAUGCCGCGUGUGGGAAGAAGGCC
rnacentral:rRNA from 1 species